GACGAACGCUGGCGGCGUGCUUAACACAUGCAAGUCGAACGGAAAGGCCCUGCUUUUGUGGGGUGCUCGAGUGGCGAACGGGUGAGUAACACGUGAGUAACCUGCCCUUGACUUUGGGAUAACUUCAGGAAACUGGGGCUAAUACCGGAUAGGAGCUCCUGCUGCAUGGUGGGGGUUGGAAAGUUUCGGCGGUUGGGGAUGGAUUCGCGGCUUAUCAGCUUGUUGGUGGGGUAGUGGCUUACCAAGGCUUUGACGGGUAGCCGGCCUGAGAGGGUGACCGGCCACAUUGGGACUGAGAUACGGCACAGACUCCUACGGGAGGCAGGAGUGGGGAAUAUUGCACAAUGCGCGGAAGCCUGAUGGAGCAACGCCGCGUGCGGGAUGACGGCCUUCGGGUUGUAACCCGCUUUCGCCUGAGACGAAGCGUGAGUGACGGUAAUGGGUAAAGAAGCACCGGCUAACUACGU
rnacentral:rRNA from 1 species